GAACAAUACUGUAUAGAAAUGUAAUAAUUACUUAUAUUGUUGAAAAACAGUAGUGUUUAUUAUAUCAGUGUUGCUUAAGUCAAUCCAUAAUGUCAGUUUUUAUCACUCUUUUAGCUACUUUAAAACCUUCAAGGCUAACACCACAUUUCUCAUGAAAUGUUUAUGAAGCAACAUCUGGGGACAAGCAACCAGGAGUACGGUGUGACUAGAACAUGACCCUCCCCCCACAGGACUCACAAAGCGGCCCAGAAAACAGAAGCUGUACUUAUAGCAUAAGCAGGAUGAAGUGCUGAAGGAGAGGAGCAGAUAAUAAUGACAUGGGAGUUACACCAAAGGACCAAUGACCACGCCUGGGAGUGUGUGUGUGUGUGUGUGUGUGUGUGUGUGUGUGUGUGGUGCCUUGGAGGUAUCCCAACAAGCGCUUGAUAGUGGAGAGAAUAUGGUGUGUACAGAGAGGGCCUGGUAGGGAGACUUGGAAGCAUGGAAGCAGAGAAUUGCAUGGCUGUGUUCAGGUCACAGGAAGAAAGAUGCAUGGUUUCACCAACACAAGGACACUUAGGUCAAGAGGAGAUAAAGAGUUAGAUCCUGCUCAGUUACAGGCGGCAUAAGCAUCACCCUGUCCAAACUGCAAUGUUGCAAGAUCACAUUGCUUAACCUGGUUGCCCAGACAGUGAUUUGUGACUCCCAAACAGAUCUGUAAACAGCAAGAUCUCUAGAG
rnacentral:lncRNA from 1 species